AUUGAACGCUGGCGGCAUGCCUUACACAUGCAAGUCGAACGGCAGCACGGGGCAACCUGGUGGCGAGUGGCGAACGGGUGAGUAAUGCAUCGGAACGUACCUUUCAGUGGGGGAUAACGUAGCGAAAGUUACGCUAAUACCGCAUAUUCUGUGAGCAGGAAAGCAGGGGAUCGCAAGACCUUGCGCUGAUUGAGCGGCCGAUGUCAGAUUAGCUAGUUGGUGAGGUAAAGGCUCACCAAGGCGACGAUCUGUAGCGGGUCUGAGAGGAUGAUCAGCCGAGCUGGUACUGAGACACGGUCCAUACUCCUACGGAAGGCAGCAAUGAGGAAUUUUGGACAAUGGGGGCAACCCUGAUCCAGCCAUGCCGCGUGAGUGAAGAAGGCCUUCGGGUUGUAAAGCUCUUUCGGCCGGGAAGAAAUCGCACGGGCUAAUACCCUGUGUGGAUGACGGUACCGGAAUAAGAAGCACCGGCUAACUACGUGCCAGCAGCCGCAGUAAUAC
rnacentral:rRNA from 1 species